rnacentral:lncRNA from 1 species
CUGGACUGUUCAAGUAGGGAGGCAGCACCGGGGCAGAAACCACCUUACACUGCCCAGCCCCCCGCUCACCAUCACACCCCCCGAAAGUAUCAGCACCCGUCCUCCACUCCCGACACACUCACACUCUCUCUUUCCCUUGCCCUGUGCCUGUCUCUCUCCAUUCUACCAAGUAGCCGGCCAGACCUUUUCUCUCUCUCUCUCUCUCUCUCUCGCACUCUCUCUCCUGCCCUGUCGACAUCCAUCGAGCGUUCCACGCCUUUCUCCCUCAGCUUCCAAAGCCGUGCUGUCUACCGUUACUGCUGCUGUCCGUCCGUGUCUCUAUCUGCAACAAGUUCCCUGGGACAUUUUUGGAAACUUUUUUUCCUCAAGACAUUUCUUUUUUUGCUAUCUCCCUGGAGACGCCAGUGCAUGUGGUGCUGUGUGUGAAAGGGUCUAGUGUUGCUCUUUCCUGGGGGUCUCUGUACACCAUUAACCAGAGGAGAAGAUUACUUGACAUCAUGAUCAAAGUUCAGCUGCUGCUUCUGCUGGCCCUGGUCGGCCCCCUCUGUGCCGUCGCACACGCAAGCACACUGGUGACACCAGUAGAGCUGGUGACAGAUUCCCCUGCUGUUCCCGAGGCCACUGAGGCCCUCAAAGAGGAAGAUCCCGUAGUCACCCAUGCCCCUUCGGCUGAACCCGAGGCUGCGGCCGAGGAUGUCGUAACGGACACCCCUGCCGCCGAGGAUGUCGUAACGGACACCCCUGCCGCCGAGGAUGUCGUAACGGACACCCCUGCCGGAGAAGAAACCGCCGCUACUGAGGCUGCUGCCACGGACGUCGCUCCCGUGGAGACCGAAGCCCCUGCCCCUACCACUGAAGCUGCCAAGCAGGAGGCGGCCACAACUAACGCCCCUGCCAUCAUCACCGAGGCCCCGGCGGAGCCCGAAGCCGAGGCCACGACAGCUGCAGAGGCUAAGGAGGAGGUGGAGGAGCCAGAGGAGGGUAUGGGCUCUGGACAAGUGGUUGGUAUUGGGAUUGGUGCAUUGGUGGCAGUGAUCGUUGUCAUCGCCGUGGUGAUCGCCGUGGUGAGGAGAAUGGGUAAAUAUUCGGCUGCUGCUGCUGCUGCUGCUGCUGCUGCUAAGAAAAGGGCUGCCAAAAAAGGGAGCAUCUUGGUUUCUAUAAUUUUCUCUUUGAUUGUUUCCCAGUUAACCAUCUUAACCCCCUGACUCUCCAUGGUCCAAUGUCACAGACACAUAACAAAGGCUGCAUCUCAAAUGUCACCCUAUUCCCUGCACUAUAAAGGAAAUAGGAUAUAAUUUGGGAUGCAGACAAACUGUCCGUCAGACAAACUGUCCGACAGGCUGUUAGUUGCUUCUCCUCUCUGAGACAUCCACUCAUGGGCCCAUGAGCCAUCAGGUAUUGUUCAUUCACUGAAACAGGUGGCUCUAUUUGAGAUGAAAUGUCGGGGCAACACCUCAUGUAUUAAGUUAGUAGGUCAAUUUGACAAAUGGUUUCCCAGCUGUGGUGGCAGAAUUUUCCACAACACAGCCGUUUGGCUUUACAUCGUCAUUUUCCGAUUGGCAACAUAAUCAAUGUCAAUCACAUAGUGGUCUGAAACGGAGUAGCAAUUCAAAGCUGUCCUUCUUGAAUGUUCUAUCUCGAUAACUAAUUCAAAGAUAUUUGUUGUUGUCGUUGGUCCAUUUUGAAACGCUUUGUAUGAAUUGACUAGAUUUGGAAUUUAAUACAUUUUACUUUCACAAAUUCCAUGAUUUCAAGUCUGUUUCUCCUUAUUUAAAACCAUUCAAAACAAACUAUAUCCUUAUCCCAGGCCCAAAAUGUCUGUACAGUGUCCAUAACCAAGAUAACACCCAGUAUACUGAGGUGUGAGAAUUAAUUAAAUGACAUGAAUCCAUGUUUUUAUUUCCUCAUUUUGGGGUCAAUGGAGACUCCUUAUAUUUAUGAAUGAUGACAUUACAUUAAAAACUACAGUAUCUACUAAAAGUAAUGUUCUGUAUGUGCUGUGUUAUCUUUAAAAUCAUAAAUCAAGUAUGUUUUUAUAUUUUAUUUUACCAAACCAUCUUCUUCAAUCAUCGACUGACAUUUUUAUGAGGCAUAACCAGAUGUUUAUGUGUGUUGGCCUGUUUGUCUUACUCUCUCUUUCUCCUUCUCGCUUCAUCCCUCAGCCCCUGAGGAGAAAGGCUGCAAGACAGGAAGUCCCCAAAACGUUCUGGCAAUUCUGAUCUAUGUAAUUUCCUGUCAUUAAACAAGCAUUCUACCAGCACUCUAACUUAACCAGGAUCUUGGACUGUUGACAAAAGGAGGGGAAGGUGUGUGGGGGAGGAUGUUUGCCCACCUCUCCUCUUCUCCCCCAACCCCAAGACAGGGCCAUUGACAUCAGCGGUCCUGUACAACCACACAGCAACCCCCCAUACCAACAACCAAACUGAAAAAAAGGUUGCCCACAGGAUGUCACAUUGAAUUUCAGGGUCUUUCAUUUGGAUUUGUAAAAAUAAGUAAGGGAUUAUCUCACUUGUGGUAGAAAACGCUCUCUCUUAUGCAAGGGUGUGUACAUUAACACAGAUGUGCAUUUGAGUUGGUGAAGAGGACCUAUACAAGAAAAAAAUGGGAAUAUGGAAAAAAGGAGACGGGAGAGAAUGUUGUGAAUUCCAUAGGGUGUAUAUACCAUGCAAAGGGACUAUAGUUAUUACUUUAUCAUAUGUUGCAGUUGCUCACUAUAGCAUUCAGUAUAUGGAACAUUGCAAAGCAGCCAAAGGCUAUUGUGGCCAAUGAACCGAACUGAAAAUCCCUCAGAAAAACCAACCACAUUAGUAUUUUGUCACCUUAACACCUAGCCAAUGAGUCCCUCACUACAGAAAUGUUCCAACAACUAUAUGAAGCACUGAAUGCAGAAGUUGAUUUGACAUUGUGCUCAUGUUCUGAGGGUUAGCGAGGGGCUAAUGAAAAGACGGCUCAUUUGCAAGUGUAACGUGACAUUCUGCCAGCUUUAACACUGACAUAAAAACCUAGUACAUAUCUGUGAAAUUUAGCAGAAGGGUUUGUGCCACUGUCUCUGGUAUUCCCUGGAUAGUUUGGAGAUGUUACUAUUGAAGUACAUUAAUGUGAAUUGACUGUACUUUAACUGCCACCCAUUCCAAUAGGACAGUUUUGACGACUUCAGGUUUUCACCCAAAAAUGUGUUCCAUGUACAGGUAGUGGUUAUUAGCCCCCAUUCUGCUAGCAUUAUCUUUUAUAAUGUAUCCACCGUACUUCUGCUUACUUUAGUUGGGAUAGAGUAUACCAAGCAAAAAUACACACACAUUUUCUUCAUAAUCGUUAGUAGUCAUUAAUGGGUGUAAAAAUCAUUCAGUCUCAGCUUAGCUCCGCUUGCUUUAAGAACUCAGUUAAUAAGUGCACUGAAUGAGUGAUGAUAAUUGUUUAAUGAAUCCGCUUUAGACACUGCAAUCGUUUGCGACGACAUUUGUUCUCCGCUUUUGCUCCAUAUUAUCAACAAGUCCUUCAAGUCCUUUUAUUUAAUUGCAGUGUGUUUGUUCAUACUGUUUCAAUAAAAAAGUGAAAACACUCCACAAAUAUA